AGAACAACAGACAGAGGACAAAGUUUAGCUUACAAACUGGUUUCCUAAACUCUUGGGUUUGAUAAUGCUACUUGUGCUAUAGCAUAAAAAUACUUUUUAUGCUUUUAUAAAUGACUAUUCCCAAGAGAAAAGUAGUAGAACUGAGACUUUCUUUGAUGCCUUUACUGCUGUGAAGGAGAUUUCCUACACCAACUCAAAGAGGCAGAAGACCAAGCACAUAAGAGUUUCAUCACUAUAAAAGGAGACGGCAUAAGGUGUCCCAAUUUUUGACUUUGAAAAUCUGUUCCCUAUGCAGCUGAUGGCACGGUGACUAUUCUGUUACAUGGUGACUUCUGAGAUUCUAACAUUUGCUUUUGUUCUCUGCUGGAAGGAAAACAGAAGCCUUUGUGAAGUACGAUAUUAUAUUGGUAUUCAGGGCAAAUACAGGACCUUCAGUGUGAGUGAUGUGAACACUCUGAGGUCGUUAUCCAGUAGAACAGGGGAACUGCUGGACAGAUUUCAGAUGACUCAACG
rnacentral:lncRNA from 1 species